rfam:Thiobacillus denitrificans strain RG RG21, whole genome shotgun sequence.
GCGAGAGUGGCGGAAUUGGUAGACGCACUGGAUUUAGGUUCCAGCGCCGCAAGGCGUGGGGGUUCGAGUCCCCCCUCCCGCA